rnacentral:misc_RNA from 1 species
GAUAUUGGCACUCAUUGCUGCUUCCUCCCCCUCCCUCUGCCACCGAUCUCACGAAGGAACUCGUGCUGAUGAUGCUGGCGUAGUGAGGACAUCAAGAAGAGCGAGAGAUAAUACACCAUUAAGAAUAACCCGUAGCCCCCCUCCCCCGGUUCAUUUACACUGCAACAAUGACCUUCUCGCCAACAGCGACGCCGCACGCCGCGUCGACAGGCGCUUCUAGCGAGAGUGUAGAGGUAUAUCGACGCUACCCUGCACCGGAGACGGUGCAGCUGCCCGUUAAAGCUACUGCCAUCACUACCACCGCCACCAGUACUGCAGGCGUAUCGUCGUCGCCGUUGUCCUCGACGGGUGCAUGCAGCGGCACUGAAGCUACGACGACCGCGCCUGAAUCGACCACUUGCGCCUCGCUCCGGCUGCGCUGGGGUGUGCAGGCGACGGAGCUCCGCAGACUGUAUGAGAUGCACAAGGACGCGUACCCUAUCAACUACACCGCCUCCUACUACGAGUGGCUGCUGGACCACGAUGCCUGUAUGGGCCUGAUGGCACUGGUGACCCAGGAGACGUACCGGGAGUGGAUACAGCGCUGGAGGGAGACGAAGGGCAAUACGCCGAAGAUGGUGGCCACGCAGACGGCAAGUGCUGCGUCGUCAUCGUCUUCGCCUUCGUCCGCUUCCACAGCACCGCCGGUUCCGCCACCGGUCUCUGAGUGCAGCAUGACUGCUGAGGCUCUGCAGGAAUGCGCGCAAGUAGAGAGCAUCAUCGCGGAGCAGGAGCGCAUUGCUGCUGGCAAGGCGGCCGAUAGUACUCACAAGGGCACAAAAUCGUUGCGCAACAGCGACGGCAGCGACUCGGCCGCACACACUGUGGUGGUGGGUUUUAUCAUUGGCCAGAUCGCCUACGCACGCCACGACGCGGGCCACCUUCUCUCGAACCCCACUGCCUACAUCGGCUCUUUCGCUGUCGACCCACCCUUUCAGACCUGCGGCGUGGGGCACGCGCUGCUGCAGCGCUUCGUCACGUACGUGACACAGCAGCGCCCCGUGUACGCGCAGGACUACUUGCACUAUGACAAGCGGAAGCUGAUUGCGCUGCUGGCGGACGCACAGGUCAAGAAGCGCAAAGCAGGGGUGAGGACACUACUCGGCGGAACCUCUGCGUCCGCCGCGGGUGGCACAUGCGAGGACGGCGGAGAUGGCACUCGACACAAGAGCUAUGCUCCAUCAGACGGCCCUCUGCCGCCGCCGAUUUCCUCUGCUGCGCCGUCCCAGUCAUCGAGCCGCGCUCAAGCCCACUCCUCCAUCUUCCAGAAUCUCCUCACGUACCUGCCAGAGCUGCAGAGCUGGAUCGAAGAUCGGCAGGCACGCCUCCGACUGCGGAAUUGUGGCCUGACCGAAGAAGAGAUUGACGAGCGGCGCUUCCGUGAUCGGCUGGCGCCAGAUGUCCUCACAGACGAGGAGGCGGACGAGGUGCGCCGUGAGGCACGUCGCUUCGUCGUCCAGACCGGUGUGCGGGACGUCUGGCUGCACUGUCUGCCUGGCAACCUCAAAGCCACCACCUUCUACGCCCACCGCGGCUUUGUGCUGCACCGCGUGCUGAAGGCGUACUACGACAUUGACGGCGCUCCAUACGAUGCCCUCCUCCUGCAUUACGUCUGCGGAAAUGAUGGGUCCGCUGCCUCGCCAGGCGCGUCAGCAGAGCUCUCCUCUACAGUGGCGACCGACGCACCGAGUGGGAUGAACCGUGUGGUAAACCGGCUGGAAAACCGUGCAGCGCCGGAGGAGGAUGCGACCAACCCGGAUGGCGCUGCUCCUUUGACCGCUGCAGCGCCUGCGUCUUUGCCCCCGCCACUGUCCUCAUUGACGGGUCUCCGCCGCCGCCGUGUAGCAUCACCGGUAAGGGAGGACAUCGGCUCAACAACAGCCGCUGCUGCUUUGACUGAGGCAGACAGGGCCGCCAUAUCAGCCCCCACCCCCGCCACUCCCGCUACUGCGGCAGACGCAUCGGCGGAGAAGGCCACGCCGGCGAAACAGAUCUCUCUGCAGACGGCCUCGUGGCUGUCUCCUCGCACGUACCCCAUGGUGGCCGAUAUAAUCCUGUGCACGGCGGAAAAGGGUCAGGAGGAGUGGCGACGACGCACAGAUCCAAAAGACUCUGGCGACGAGGCACAGCAGCGGCUAGGGUGUUGGGAGAUGGCGCGCGAGGUUGUCUUCGUCGCCAACGCCUUUGGGCUGCUAUGUGCCGUGCUGUGGCUCGCCUACAACGUUGUGGUGGAGGGAAAGGUGUUGUAGAGCGAGUAAAAGAGGACGGCGAUGCUGAAAGCGCGCGACUGUGCCUGCAGGGCGUGGGCGUGCUCACUAGCUUGCGCGCCGCCGCCGGCGGCUCUCGGAGGAUGGGAGAAUGAGGCGCUGGACGUUGCUCCCCGCACUCGGUCGAGCUGCUGGUGUAUGCAUACAUUCAACCAGCCUAGAGGUAACAAAAAACAGCCACGAGGACCGCC